CUCUAUAAGCUGUCAUUUAUAGUAAGAUCUGCUCACUGAUUUAUUAAAGAGCCGCAAUUUCGUGCUAAGGUAGCAUAAUCAUUCGUCUUUUAAUUGAAGACUAGAACAAAAGAUUUAACAUUUAAAUUUAUUUUAAUAAUUUAAAACUUAAACUUCUUUUAAAUGUAAAAAGACAUUUAUAUAAAAGAAAGACGACAAGACCCUAUUGAACUUUACUUUAGUUAAACUGGGGCAGUUAAUUAAUUAUUAUUUUAAUAAAAAUGUAUAUCUACCUAUCCAUUAAAAUUGAAUAAUCAAGUUACCAUAGGGAUAACAGCAUAAUUAUAUUCUAAAGUUCCCAUUCCAAAAAUAGAUUAUGACCUCGAUGUUGAAUUAAUAACCUAAUUAGAGCAAGAUUUAAUACAGGAAGUCUGUUCGACUUUUAAAAAAUU
rnacentral:rRNA from 1 species